CGUCACAUCAAAGGCCUUUGCAACGUCACAACAAAGGUGCUUCGAAGGAGCUCCCAAAUAGCAUAAAUAGAGCCUUGGCGACACUCUACACCAGUGCACUCCAAAGUUGGUCCGUCUAAAGUAUCGCUGAGUCUAAAAUACUGCUGAAAGUCAACCGUUAUUAAAUAUGUCUCACGUUUAUGGUAGAGCUAACGAUCACGUUUCCCGUGCAAAGGUUUGCACAACUGAAGAAUUGCGGGCUGAAAAAGAAGCCACAAAAAAGGAGAAAAAAUGCGUCAGGUUUGCAACGCUCCCAUCACUCCACAACGGCUGGGAGCACACAAUCCGACCAACGACAGAGAGAGUGCGGGACGUACAAAGGGUAAGUCGGGAGUGGGGUGAGGCUGGCAGUAGUGAUCGGGUUGGUUUCUUCCGUUGUCAGCAACGGAGCAGCUCAGAACAAACAGCACCUAAAACGGAAUGCCUGUUUGUUAAUAAAUCAAAUAGGGUUGUGUCUGUAGCUAAAGACUCACCAGCUAAGAAUUUAAUCCCACCCCUGCCUCCUCUUCCUAUUAAACCGCAGAAAACACAGCGUGCCCCUAUUAUUAAAAAGCAACACGAGGUUGUUGCACCUUAUGCACCACGCAUGUUAGAGACGUGGGACAUAAACACAAAUAAAAAUGUACUUCCACCCCUACCUCCUCUUCCUAUUAAAACGCAGAAAACACAGCGUGCCCCUAUUAUUAAAAAGCAACA
ensembl:lncRNA